rnacentral:rRNA from 1 species
UACAGAGGUCUCAAGCGUUGUUCGGAUUCAUUGGGCGUAAAGGGUGCGUAGGCGGCUCGGUAAGUCGGGUGUGAAAUCUUGGAGCUUAACUCCGAAACUGCAUUCGAUACUGCCGUGCUUGAGGACUGGAGAGGAGACUGGAAUUUACGGUGUAGCGGUGAAAUGCGUAGAUAUCGUAAGGAAGACCAGUGGCGAAGGCGGGUCUCUGGACAGUUCCUGACGCUGAGGCGCGAAGGCCAGGGGAGCAAACGGG